GGGAAUUAAUGCAAAAAGGCUCAAGCUUCUGUGCCCCUGGGAAAUGGCAGAGGAAGACAGCUUCAGCCUCAGAGCACACAGCACUGAGUUGUAAGAAACAGGUCUCAUCAUCCCCUUGGCCAGCAGAUUUUCACCCUGGGCCCACUAAGAAGCCUGCCAGGGGGUCCUCUGUUGUCUGGACCCUGAGGCUUCAUCCUCAAUGUGUUGGAGCCUAGGAGAGAGGAUUAGAGUUAUGCGUAGAGAUGAGGUCUCAAUGAAGCAGUGUUGUUGCCUGGGGUAAAUACCCGGGUUCAUCAUCUCGAGCCAAGAAGAUUAAGGACAUGAACACACAUGAAGAGUAAGUUUAGGAGCAGAGGUUUAAUAGGCAAAAGAAAGAGAAAGGAGAACAGCUCUCUCCCUUGCAAAAGAGAGGGGCUCCCAAAGGGGAAAACCCAGCCUGCGGUGGACUACACCCGAUUUUAUAGGCAAGCUUGAGAAGGCAGUGUCUGAUUUAUGUAGGGUUCACAGAUUGGUUUGACCAGUAUGAUGUUUACAUAGUAUUCACGGAAGGCUGCAUGCCCCACCCUAAUCUUAUUAUGUAAAUGGAGUCUUUGCCUGGCUGGCGCCAUAUUGUCUUCUCCUUACUGUACAUGUGGUUUGACAAAGGGAAGGGAAGAUGAAGCUGCCAUUUUGAACAUGCCUAGUCCCAGGUAGCCUUUUCCUGUUGGCACAACUGCUGGCAUUCACCUGUACAAGCUUCCAGCUUGCUUACCUAUGUCUGCAGCUCGAUUUUACAGGCUGCUCUUUGUAGAAAAAAAAACAAAAAACUAUUUUGAGACUGCUUUUCAUGAAAAGAAAAACCUUACCAAGGACUCCCAGACCCUCACUAUCUGCCUAAGUAAUUUCUUCUUAACUCCUGUAUCAUUACUAUAUUGCCCAGGCUGGUCUCAAAUUCCUGGGCUCAAGUGAUCCUCCCACCUUAGCCUCCCAAAGUGCUAGGAUUACAGGCAUGAGCCACUGUGCCCAGCCAUGUUGUAUUUUUUAAAGUACAGUUUAUCAUGAAAAAGGGAGAAAAGGUACUACAUCCAACCAGAAUGGCUAAAAUGAAAGAGAUAAACACUAUCAAAUUUUGACAAAGAUAUGAAACAACCAGAACUCUCAUAUAUGCCUGGUGGCAGUGUAAAAUGGCAUAGCCACUUUAGGAAAUAGCUUGGUAGUAUCCACUAAAGCUGAAAAUAUGCAUAUAUUCAAUUGUAUUCUUAAGUAUAUAUCCUACAAAAAUUUAUGAGCGUUUUAACCAAAAGAUCUGUGUACAAAUGUCCAUAGCAGUAAUCUUUUCUUUUUUUUUUUUUUUUUUUUUUUUUUUUGCUCCAGUCAAGGGAGAAGCAGUGAUGUUUUAGUAUCCAGAAAGUGGAAAUAACCCAAAUGCCCAUCAACAGCAGAAUGAAAUUGUACUAUAUUCACACCAUGGAAUAUUGUAUAGCAAAGAGAAUGAAUGAACUAUUAACAGAAAAGACAUGGACAAAUCUCAUAAACAUGAUGCUGAAAGAAACCACAGUCAAAAAAGAAGAUGCUUCCCAACCUUUUGCAGACCAUGGCAUACGCAGAAAAUGACAACAUCGGAAUGGCACACUGGCAUACCAGUUGGGGAUCCUUGCAGUCAAUGCUGACUGGACUCAUCCUUCAGCCGCCCCCAAGAAGAGAGAGAUCAAUACCUUGGCACAUCUGUGGGAAAGCUCCCAUUAGAGAGUGUGGGGAAGACACAGGCCUCCACAACACAUUUCAGGUUCUCUAAACUGGCAAAGGGGAAGAGUCUGGGCUUCCUUUGCCCUUUUGUUCUCAAAGAGCCCAGCUGUGCACACCCCUCACCCCUGCACUAUAGCUCCCAUUUGGGUAGUGAAAAAUCACAGGACUCAGGGGAGUUAUGCAGCAUUCGGGAAUGGAGACCUGGAAAGCCACACACUCCUCCUUGCUUUCCUGUGAGCCUCUCUUCUUGCUGUCCCCUUUACAACCAACAGUCCCUGCAGGGGGAAGACACUCUGCUUUAGUCAGUUCCACCUCCCUUCCAGAUCUCAUCCUCCUUUCAGCCUAAUUUUCCUCACACUGUCAUGCUCCUUCCCACUGCUCGCCCCCCACCCCCUACUCUCCUCCAGCACAUCACACAUUGCGCCUGGGCACACUGAGCUUGUCUGCCAUCUAUGAAGAGGCCCAUGUCACCCAAGCCCUUCUCUUUCCCUGUCAUGCCAUAGCCUCUUCCAGGAGCGCUCAGCCUGCUGUUUCUGCUCAGACCUCCCCUCCUCUGCAAAGCCUCCUUCUGCGUGCUGCCCGAGAGCCAUCCCCCACUUGGGUUUGUGUUACUGCUGUGUAUGGCAGCAUCUUCACUGUGCCUGAUUUCCCGUCUUGGCCCAUCGUAGGUGCUCAACAAUUGUUUCUCAAAUGACCAGCGCCUGCAGAGGGACCCUGACAUGAACUCCACCCCACCCCGACUCUUGGCAGUUACUCACUGUCCCCUUGAGUCGGGAUCCCAGCCCCUCAGGGGACCUGUCUUGCAGCCAUUCCACGCUCUGUCACCCCACUGCCAGGAGACUAGAGCCACACUGCCUGGAUGACGCUCAUCUUUACCAGCUCGCAGCUCUGCCAGCUGCCUGCUCAGGGGUGGCCGCCAGCUGAGGGAUUGAGCUGAUUAUAGGUGAAUCAGCACCAGGCUGAUUGUGGUGUGAAAAAGGGGAAGGGUGACUGUGUCUUAGCCUCAAUCCUGGCUCCCCUCCUUCCAGCCCUGACCUGCAGUAACAGCACAGGGCCACCAGAGGCUCUAUUGGGCGACUCAUGCCCCGCGGAGAAAGGCCCAGUAGGAGAGCAUCUGACCCAGUUCCCAGCAGAUGAGAAAGGAAGAAGAGUUCAGGAGGCUUCUACUCUCAGAGGUCUCCAGCACUGAAACCCCGCAGCCGCACCUGGCUGCCUUAUCCUUGUGUUUUGCCCCUCAUGGGUCUAGAAGCUGUUGUGUUACACCUUAACAUCUUCCUCCUUGCUUGCCAUGAGCCCCUCUGCUUGCAGCCCCCUUUACAGAACAACAGUCAUGGUAGAGGGAAGAUGUCUCCACUUUUGUCAGUUCUGCCUCCUUUAGGAGAGUGUCAGGCCUAACCCAUGUGUGCUCUGUCUUUCAGGGCAUGGAAAAGACUAUUGUCCUGUUUCGUCUUUUCAACACCUCUUGACUCUCUCCCCCUGGUUUCCUAACAGCCAGCUAGGUUCAGGGCCUCCCAUCUCUGGCCAGGAUUAGUGCAAUGGCUUUCUGAAGGGUCCCAGGCUCCAGGGAGCCCCUUGCCCAUCAAGUCUCUACCCUGGAGCCAGACAGCCCUUACUUCCAUCAGACAUCAGCCUCCAGUGGCUCCGAAAGGCCAGGCAUCCACACAGCACCCCACGGCCCCAAGAACUGGCUGCUUGAUUUUCCUGCCCUGUGUCCCUCCUCUCCUUGGCCCUCUACCCAGCAAUCACCCCAAAACACUGUGAUGUUUCAAGCCUUUGUACUUUGCACACAUUCUUCUCCAUGGCCUAAUUCCCUCUCUCCACCCCUCACUCCACACCUCCUCCACCUUUACCCUUUCUCCCCAUUCUUUCUUCACCGGGCACAGCCCUACUUAUCCUUCAAAACUGCCACUUCCUCUGCGAAGCCUUUCCUGACCCGUGUCCCAGAAUCCCUCCUCUGAACAAAUCCUGUUCCCUAAACAUGCAUCUCUCAUUGUAUCUGUCACUCAAGGGUUGCAAUAAUUACACACACGCCUGUCCUUUGUCCUCCACUGGCUCUGUACCUCCAUGUGGGACCCAUGGCCAGCACACAUUGGUGGUGCCCGAAAGCUGUUGCACUGGAGUUGUUCCUUCUGCCCCAUCACCUCCCACCUUGAACAAGUCCUUUAGAUGACCUGAACUCCAGUUUGUUGAUCUGCAAAAUGGAGAGAUGUGAGAAUCAGAAGAGAACACGUAAUGAAAGGGUGUUAUAAACUGCUAAGGGCUGUACAAAUGUUUGUAUUGCAUUUUUGUCUUCCAGACUAGUGUUUACCUACACUUGCCUGUGUGGAAAUCAGAAGAUUAAAGGAAUGCGAUGUGAUCUUUUUGUAAUUUCCCCACUUGGGUCAAGGGAAAAGCUGGUCAAGAGUAAACCAUUAAUUCAUCCCCCUGCAGGCCCCCCAAUCUUCCCUAGAAUUCUGGGUUAAUGAUUCUGAGGUUGUUUUCCUCACAGAGCCAAUUCAUAUCUAAUCUUUGGCAUGUUCCCCCCUUUAUUAAGAAUAACUUGACUCACCCCAUUAAUUCCUCAUCCUGGGGUCACGAGCCUUGUUUUGCAGAAGGAAAUGGUGGCUGUGUGUAUGUCUUGGGCCUUCUUUCUUUCUCAAACCCCUUUCUUUCAUGGAUUCAUGCCUACAAUUCCCUCUGUGGACAGAAGAGACCUCUCCUUACCUGCAUAAUGAAAUGUGUGACUUUUCUCAAAAGUAGCUUUAGGAAUUAACUGUGGAGGUCCAAGUAGCAAGGAUGCUGUGACCUAACUCGUUACCCCCUCACGUGUGGUUUGGAAUCCCAGCAGAAAAAAUUUCCUGAAGAUCUGGUACGGAGAAACCAUUCUGGGCCUGGCUUUUAAAUGUUUUAUUAGCAGCUGGGCGAGGACUGGGCUGCAAAGAGAUGCAGCCCCCGUCAGAAGCGAUCCCUGUUGGGGAGCAAGGCCUGGAAUUCCAGGAGGGAGGUCUGUUUAUAGCUGAGGCAGAGGCUGGGGAGCGAAGCCUGGGAGCCAGACAUGGCUUAAGGGUGGUCUGGACACUCUUGAGAUAAGGCCAACUAAGGACUAUGAGCUCAUUGAAGUUCCAAAGCCAACUCACAGCAGCUCACCACCAGACAUGUCCCCUGCCCCCACAUUCCCUCCUCUCAAUCCAGGAAUUUUGGUGCUCAUCUCUAUAAAGUUUUAGACCAUGGUGGUAGGAACCUGGUAAGUCUCAGGUUCUUGCAUUGCCCGAUUCUCCUUGGAUUUGCUGGGUUUGCCUCCUUCCCAUGUCUCAGACAGGGCUUUGCAUAAAGAAGUGGGCUGGUAGAUCUGCAAAGGUCCCUCUGUGUGACUGGAGCAAGUUACCCUCUUGAGCCUCAGUGUCCUCUUCUGUAAAAUAGGGAUAUCAUUCUUUCUUUCCCAAGGCUUUUGGUAAUAAUGUCAUUCUCAUGUGAUUCUUAACAAAAUGGGCCUUUCAGACUUAGAUCACUUUUGUGCAUGCAUAAAAAUGAAAGCAUUGAGGAGAAGGAAUUGGUGAAUAUAUGUCUGGAGCAAUAACUUCAUCAGAACUGCCACGGUGGUUGUAGGACCAUUCUGAUUCCAGAGGUAUUAAAAUGCAAAACACAAUGUUGAAAUGCAAAACCCAACAAAAUAAUAAACAGCCUUGUACCUACCGCCUCCCUUAAGAACUAAAACAAUUCCCAACACCACUGAAAGACUGUGUUCACCUCCUUGAUCCAAUCUCUUGCCUUUCCACCCCAGAGAAAACCACUGUCCUGAAUUUUUUCCCACUCCCUUGGUUUUGUUUUACCAAACAUGUAUCCAAUAUGUAACAUAUUAUUUGUAUUUGAUCUUGUUUUUGAAUUGUCCUGUAGGUAGAAUUAUAUCUUAUUCUGCAAUUUGCUUUUUAAAGUUUUUGAAAGAGCAAAACUUAUCUAUGCUAAUACGCUAAUGUGUGUAGCUGCCAUUUAUUUGUCACUGCAUAUACCCCUCUCAAUUCUGUUGAUGGAAAUUUAGGCAGUUUCCAGUAUUAUUUUGCUACAAACAUUCUCAUGGCUGUCUCCUGCAACAUGUGUGUUUCUUGGGAGUAUAC
rnacentral:lncRNA from 10 species